rnacentral:rRNA from 1 species
AGCMUGCGAGUCGAGAGGGUUCGGCCCUCGGCGAACUGCUCAGUAACACGUGGAUAAUCUACCCUUAGGUGGGGGAUAACCUCGGGAAACUGAGGAUAAUACCCCAUAGAUCUAAGAUGCUGGAAUGCACUUAGAUUGAAAGCUCCGGCGCCUAAGGAUGAGUCUGCGGACUAUCAGGUAGUAGUCAGGGUAACGACCUGACUAGCCUACGACGGAUACGGGUUGUGGGAGCAAUAACCCGGAGACGAUAUCUGAGACACGAUAUCGGGCCCUACGGGGCGCAGCAGGCGCGAAACCUUCACAAUGCGCGAAAGCGCGAUGAGGGGAUCCCGAGUGCUUGCUCGUAAGAGUAAGCUGUUUCUCUGUUUAAAAAGCAGAGAGAGGAAGGGCUGGGUAAGACGGGUGCCAGCCGCCGCGGUAAUACCUGCAGCUCGAGUGGUGGCCGUUAUUAUUGGGCCUAAAACGUCCGUAGCCGGCCUGAUAAAUGCUUGGGUAAAUUGUGUAGCUUAACUAUACAAAUUCCGGGUAGACUGUCAGGCUUGAGACCGGGAGAGGCUAGAGGUACUCCUGGGGUAGAGGUGAA